ACACACACACACACACACACACACUAAUGGGAUUGAAUUUGGAUCUGAAAUGGCUGCGAGCUGAAAUCAAAUGUUGUCUCACAGACUCAUGGCAGAAAACAAUAAGGUACUAACUUGAUGAGUCCUUCACUAUGCGUCGGUACCUUACAGAAUUACCCACCACAACAGGACCAAGCAGAGGAGGAAUACUGGCGAGGACUGGGGAACACAGCGGGUAAGGGAACCCGAGAGGCAGCCCCAAUAAUUUUUUUUGGGGGGGGCACAAGGGCUGUUUGACGGGGCGAGGAUGGAGCCACAGGCCAGCUCCCCGUACCCUGUUUAGGCUGAAACAGACUGGACAGGUCCCGUGCUUUGGGGU
rnacentral:lncRNA from 1 species